UACGGAGGGUGCGAGCGUUGUUCGGAAUCACUGGGCGUAAAGCGCGUGUAGGCGGCCCAUUAAGUCUGAUGUGAAAGCCCGGGGCUCACCCCCGGAAGUGCAUUGGAAACUGAUGGACUCGAGUCCCGGAGAGGAGAGUGGAAUUCCUGGUGUAGCGGUGAAAUGCGUAGAUAUCAGGAGGAACACCGGUGGCGAAGGCGGCGACCUGGGUCGAGACUGACGCUGAGGCGCGAAAGCGUGGGGAGCAAACAGG
rnacentral:rRNA from 1 species